UCUCCAGCUGUUUUUGGACUACAACUCCCAUCACUGGUCCUGCUAGAUAGGGAUGAUGGGAGUUGUAGUCCAAAAACAGCUGGAGA